rnacentral:rRNA from 1 species
UACGUACGAGGCGAGCGUUUAUCCGGAAUUACUGGGCGUAAAGCGCGCGCAGGCGGACCAUUAAGUUGGGCGUGAAAUCUCCCGGCCUAACUGGGAGGGGUCGCCCAAGACUGGUGUCUUGAGGACAGCAGAGGUGGGUGGAAUUCCUGGUGUAGUGGUGAAAUGCGUAGAGAUCAGGAGGAACACCGUGGUGGAAGGCGGCCCACUGGGCUGUCACUGACGCUGAGGCGCGAAAGCGUGGGGAGCAAACAGG